AACUCACUGGAUAACUCAUUGGAUAACUCAUUGUUUAACUCAUUGGAUAACUAAAUGGAGAUAACUAAUUGGACAACAGCAAUGUCAAGGUUACAAUAUUCGUGGACAGCGUUGAGAGAGGGUCUCUCUCUAGUGAAGUACAUUAACUUUGUUAUUGAUACGAAAUCAAUAAGGUGUUUGUUUUUAUCUCUACGUGAUCGAUUUGAGCAUGCGCAGGACACUUGAUGCUUUCCAGGGAGGCUGAACCCCACGUGACUGGAUAUAGGUUGACCUGGAGAGUUCUAAUGAACACUACGUUUCAUUUCAUUGUGUCAUUGUGUUUAUUCCAGGACUAAAGCAAACACAUUUAACUGUGUGCAUAGAUUCUUUCAUUAAUCCCUGGCAUUGUUUUUAUUUUGUAAAUAAAAUGUCAUACAUUUGAAUAUUAUGAGCUCUACAGCCAUUUACUUGUGUGUGAAGAAGCCUUGUCUGUAGGAGGUCUGUGUGUGUGGAAUAUAAGUUUAUUAGAACAUUGUUUAAGACUAAGACUUAUGUCUGCUUUGUGUAUGUGUGUAUACAUGUCUCGUCUAUAUGUUUAUAUUUUGAGUCUCACGUGUCUUGUUCUCACAUUCACGUGACACCUUCUGACUGACCUUUUAACCUCUAGAAGAUGAAGCUAUGUAACAAAACAUAGAUAGCUUCAUAUUG